GUGGGGAAUAUUGGGCAAUGGGCGAAAGCCUGACCCAGCAACGCCGCGUGAAGGAAGAAGGUCUUCGGAUCGUAAACUUCUAUCCUUGGUGAAGAUAAUGACGGUAGCCGAGAAGGAAGCCCCGGCUAACUACGUGCCAGCAGCCGCGGUAAUACGUAGGGGGCGAGCGUUGUCCGGAAUGAUUGGGCGUAAAGGGCGCGUAGGCGGCGCGGCAAGUCCGGAGUGAAAGUCCUGCUUUUAAGGUGGGAAUUGCUUUGGAAACUGUCGAGCUUGAGUGCAGGAGAGGUAAGCGGAAUUCCCGGUGUAGCGGUGAAAUGCGUAGAGAUCGGGAGGAACACCAGUGGCGAAGGCGGCUUACUGGACUGUAACUGACGCUGAGGCGCGAAAGUGUGGGGAGCAAACAGGAUUAGAUACCCUGGUAGUCC
rnacentral:rRNA from 1 species